rnacentral:rRNA from 1 species
AACGAACGCUGGCGGCAGGCUUAACACAUGCAAGUCGAACGGCUGUAGCAAUACAGCAGUGGCAGACGGGUGAGUAACACGUGGGAACCUUCCUAGGGGUACGGAACAACUCAGGGAAACUUGAGCUAAUACCGUAUACGUCCGUAAGGAGAAAGAUUUAUCGCCCUUAGACGGGCCCGCGUCGGAUUAGCUAGUUGGUGGGGUAACGGCCUACCAAGGCGACGAUCCGUAGCUGAUCUGAGAGGAUGAUCAGCCACACUGGGACUGAGACACGGCCCAGACUCCUACGGGAGGCAGCAGUGGGGAAUCUUGGACAAUGGGCGCAAGCCUGAUCCAGCCAUGCCGCGUGAGUGAAGAAGGCCUUAGGGUUGUAAAGCUCUUUUGGCAGGGACGAUAAUGACGGUACCUGCAGAAUAAGCCCCGGCAAACUUCGUGCCAGCCGCCGCCGUAAGAC